rnacentral:rRNA from 1 species
AACGUAGGAGACGAGCGUUAUCCGGAUUUACUGGGCGUAAAGAGCGUGUAGGAGGCGGUACAAGUUGGAUGUGAAAGCUCCCGGCUUAACUGGGAGAGGUCGUUCAAGACUGUGCAGCUAGAGGGAAGCAGAGGUAGACGGAACUCCGGGAGUAGUGGUGAAAUGCGUAGAUAUCCGGAAGAACACCAGAGGCGAAAGCGGUCUACUGGGCUUAACCUGACACUGAGACGCGAAAGCCAGGGUAGCAAACGGG